GAUGAACGCUGGCGGCGUGCCUAAUACAUGCAAGUCGAGCGAACGGACGAGAAGCUUGCUUCUCUGAUGUUAGCGGCGGACGGGUGAGUAACACGUGGAUAACCUACCUAUAAGACUGGGAUAACUUCGGGAAACCGUAGCUAAUACCGGAUAAUAUUUUGAACCGCAUGGUUCAAAAGUGAAAGACGGUCUUGCUGUCACUUAUAGAUGGAUCCGCGCUGCAUUAGCUAGUUCGUAAGGUAACGGCUUACCAAGGCAACGAUGCAUAGCCGACCUGAGAGGGUGAUCGGCCACACUGGAACUGAGACACGGUCCAGACUCCUACGGGAGGCAGCAGUAGGGAAUCUUCCGCAAUGGGCGAAAGCCUGACGGAGCAACGCCGCGUGAGUGAUGAAGGUCUUCGGAUCGUAAAACUCUGUUAUUAGGGAAGAACAUAUGUGUAAGUAACUGUGCACAUCUUGACGGUACCUAAUCAGAAAGCCACGGCUAACUACGUG
rnacentral:rRNA from 1 species